GCCUGGGUGGCUCAGUCGGUUAAGCGUCCGACUUCGGCUCAGGUCAUGAUCUCGCAGUUUGUGAGUUCGAGCCUCACAUCGGGCU
rnacentral:tRNA from 1 species